rnacentral:ncRNA from 2 species
AUAUUUCUUCAGGGCAGGGUGUAAUUCCCUACCGGCGGUAAAGCCCGCGAGCCGUAAGGCAUGAUUCGGUGUAAUUCCGAAGCCGACAGUAUAGUCUGGAUGAGAGAAGAGAGUA